rnacentral:rRNA from 1 species
GACGAACGCUGGCGGCGUGCCUAAUACAUGCAAGUAGAACGCUGAAGAGAGGAGCUUACUCUUCUUGGAUGAGUUGCGAACGGGUGAGUAACGCGUAGGUAACCUGCCUUGUAGCGGGGGAUAACUAUUGGAAACGAUAGCUAAUACCGCAUAACAAUGGAUGACACAUGUCAUUUAUUUGAAAGGGGCAAUUGCUCCACUACAAGAUGGACCUGCGUUGUAUUAGCUAGUAGGUGAGGUAAUGGCUCACCUAGGCGACGAUACAUAGCCGACCUGAGAGGGUGAUCGGCCACACUGGGACUGAGACACGGCCCAGACUCCUACGGGAGGCAGCAGUAGGGAAUCUUCGGCAAUGGGGGCAACCCUGACCGAGCAACGCCGCGUGAGUGAAGAAGGUUUUCGGAUCGUAAAACUCUGUUGUAAGUCAAGAACGGGUGUGAGAGUGGAAAGUUCACACUGUGACGGUAGCUGACCAGAAAGGGACGGCUAACUACGUG